rnacentral:rRNA from 1 species
ACGGGAAAUUCGCCAGAGAUGGCUUAGUGCCUUCGGGAACCGUGAGACAGGUGCUGCAUGGCUGUCGUCAGCUCGUGUUGUGAAAUGUUGGGUUAAGUCCCGCAACGAGCGCAACCCUUAUCCUUUGUUGCCAGCACGUAAUGGUGGGAACUCAAAGGAGACUGCCGGUGAUAAACCGGAGGAAGGUGGGGAUGACGUCAAGUCAUCAUGGCCCUUACGAGUAGGGCUACACACGUGCUACAAUGGCAUAUACAAAGAGAAGCGAACUCGCGAGAGCAAGCGGACCUCAUAAAGUAUGUCGUAGUCCGGAUUGGAGUCUGCAACUCGACUCCAUGAAGUCGGAAUCGCUAGUAAUCGUAGAUCAGAAUGCUACGGUGAAUACGUUCCCGGGUCUUGUACACACCGAA